rnacentral:lncRNA from 1 species
GUUUUUCUGAACUAGAGAUGACAUCACUAGCAUCUGGUCUUUCUCUUUGAGACAGCCGAGAGAGUGAGGUGCCGUGAGAGAUGCAAUCGAUGGGGGGUGGAGAGAGGUAGCCGACAGUGAGAAUGGUAAGGAAGAACGGAGCGUAGUGAGAUUAGUGGAUUGGUGAGGAAGAGCGUGAGGGAGAGAAUGAGAGAGCAUGUGUUGUGGUUGAGAAUGUUGCAAUUGAGAAUUUACUGUGACCUUUUAUGCUUGCCUCAAAACUCACCGUUUUGUGCUAACUGUUGUACUCAAUGUUGUAAGAAUAUCGGAACUGUUAUAAAUUUGUUUCUAAAUAGAAAACUCUUUUGUGGAGUCAAUAUUUUGAAAACCAAAGUCUCGAGUUCUUUCUCGUGCGUGCCUGGCCAGCAUCCUAAACCUUACUGGUAGCCGGAGAAUGGCGUAAAACGGCGGCGAUCUUCUUCUUCAUCUUAUUCUCUCUGUCAUCGUUUCAGGUAACCUUGUGAUUAUGAGUUUCUUCUCUUUCUUAGCUUGCAAAAAUAGGUUUUGAUUUCUUUAAUUCGUAUUGUAGCCAUUAAUAUCAAAUUUUGUCCUGCCGGCAAUAUUUUUUUGUUCCUAGAGGUUGAAGCCCUUCUGUUCUUGUUCCAUUGGUGACUUUGCUCACUCAAAUUAAUUUUGUUCUGCAGAAUUUACAAAGUUCAAAUGGAUUCGUUUGGAUUACUAUUGAAUUUAGCUUUCAUUUCAACAUUCAUUCUAAUGUUUUACAAUUAUGUAUUUAGAUUUACUUUAAUUUUAUGUUUAAAGCUUCUGCAAUGAAUAGCUGAGCUUGGGUCUUAGUUUCAUUUUCUAAUUAACUUGUUUUAGUUUAUCUUAUAUGCUCACCAAGUGCUUGUUAUAUUGUCUGAUAGGUUAUAUAACAUAGCUGAUUAUAUAAUAAUAAUGUCAUGUUCCAUUUUCAGAAAUUAUAAUAUAAAAGUUUUUACAAUGGGGUGCAUCUACAAACUGAAUUGACUUGUAGAGUAAGAGCUUGGAGUAGUGUGCAUUCUUGAAUAAAUGAAAGUUCAUAUUGUGUAAGAGCAUGUAGAUGUAAAGCAUCAUUACCAUUUCUACCAAGUGCUUUCAUUCUGUUCAGAUGCUCCUCUUGAACUUUGGAAGGUGCCUCAUUCAAGUCCUAGCUAUAACUAAUUGCUCUGAUUAAUUAAGUUCAUAUGCUAGCUGAAACAGAUUUAAUUAAUUAAUUAAUUAAUUGUGUAUGUACUAAUUAUAUUGAAAGUAUAUGAAGAAAUUGUUUAACAUGAAUGACUUCUAAAUGACUUAAAAGCCUAGAGGAUAUGUGAAAUAAUGCUCAUUUCACUUGAACGAGCCUAUUAAUACUUGUAUGUCUAUGAUUGUCAAUAUUGCUUAAGUGUUUCAGUUAAGUGGUUUACCUAGCAGGGAAAAAAAUUUAAUGGAAAACCUUAGAGUUUUAAUAGAAAUAUAGUUGACUAUGCAGAUAUAGUUAUUUUACGGUAUAUAAAUCAUGUUGUCCUAUUCUCAAUGUCCUACAACCUAUUUUAUUUUAUAUAGUCAUUCAUUUUACGAUGGUUUUUUGUGUUUAUGAGUAUGGAAAUAGUGGGAUUUGGUGUACCUUAGCAUCUUUCGAAAAUUCUCUUUAAAUGCGGCAAACAGAAAUAUACAUAUAAUCAAGUUUCUUAAUCAUGUAUAUUAGGUUUGGGUGUGAAUGUUUUCCUAUUCUAGUUCUAGGCAAAGUUUCUUCAUUUUGGUCUUCAGAUUUCCAGUAGGUUAAGCUAAUCAACUAUCAUAACUGGCUAGCUAGUUAUUGCCUGCCUUGUCGCCAUUACCGACGCCAUUACAUUGCAUGGCAUAGGGAAUAGUAACUAUGUGAUUAUUGGUGAUUUGUUGAGCUUAUUAUUGACCAAACAAACAUAUUCGCCUUUACCCACAACUUGGUUUGAUUAGUUACUGGACAAUAAAGAGCCUUAAUCUAUGCAUUGGCUUUCUUAUUUUUAUUUGGUUUUUCUUUCAACAAUAUUGUUGAUUUCUUAUAUCAUUGGCUAUUUAAUGAAGCUAAUUAAAACUAAGGCUUCGGAUCACUUUCUUCUAACAACAAACAAAUGAGGAUAACCUAUCUCCUCUAAGCAAAUUUUUCUAAUAUCCUUGAUUUGUUAGGACCUGGAGGCCUGAAAUCCUCUAGAUUUUUUUAGCACUGCCAAUGUUCCUUUUAUUCUGAAAAGGAAAAAAAGGUUAUAUCGUUUAUACCCUAACAGUAAAAUGGCCUUUGACUUAACAUGCCUUCCUGAGGAUUUGCAAGAUUCACAAGCAGCCUAGCCACCCCCCAACGCAAAAAAAAUAAAAAAAAUAAAAAACUAAUAAAAAUAAAAAAUAAAACAACCCAAAUAGGAAGACUUUGCAACAUUCACAACGUGGUUACAUUUAAGUUAUUAAUUGUGUGUGUGUGUACUAGUUAUAUGUUGAUAGUAUAGGAAGAAGUAUUUUAACAUGGAUGACUUAAAACUUAUUGCUCAGUAAACAUAGUCUGCAUCAGUGCUAGAAAAUGUAUUUAUUGUUUGUAUUUUUUAUGGUUUUGAUUAAGAAAUGAAAUGUGAAAAAAUGCUACAUUGUAUUAGGAAUAAAUUGAAGAGAUUUAUGAUAUUUAUGUGUUAUUCAAGUUUCAGAUUCAAUUUUAAACUUUUGAUACAUGCAUUGAAAGCUUAAACUCCUUUAAGAAGUUAUUGAUAGACACAUGUUUUAUUAGUGUCAUCUUUGGAUGAUAGUGAGGAUCUUAUGUCUAUUAAUAAUUCUUGAAUUAUCCAGGCUCGGACAUUUUGGUAAUGCAUAGUUUUCUAUGGUAGCUAGUACCUGAAAUUUUUUUCCCACUAAAAAUGGGCUUUUCAGUAGCUGCUCCUCAUAUUCUGGGUGCAUACUAGACGAAUGGGUGUCGUUUUGUUUUGGGAUAACACAUAAACACUCAUAUAUCUAUGUCAUGUACUUGAAGAACUAUAGGGAGAUGCUUCCGAAAUUUCUAUAAACGUAGAGGAAAACUUUAGAUACUUAAGAUUGAAGAAACUUAUGCAUUCUUGAGUGGGAUAUAGAGGACCACUUACCUUUUGUAAUAUGAAGGGAAUGUUGGAUAUAUUGAUGGGAGUGGAGGAGCUGAGUGGGAUGAAUGUAAUCGGUUAUGAUUUUGCUGAGUUGACUUGGUUUUGAGUCUUGUAAUUUUGUUUAUAAAUGGAGUACUAUCUCCAAUGUUGGUUUAUAAAUAUUGUUUCAGCUGGCUGACCUAAUUUUUUAUUUCUAGGUAACAGGCUUUAUAUAUUCGUAAUUGAUAGCCAAGUGAAGUUCUCAGCAGUGGGUGAGGAUAUUUCUUUACAGAAGGUAUUGGAAACUGUUUUUCACAUUAAUUAGUAUUGUAUACAUACUUUAAUUUCACAUCUUUUUCUCUGAUUCUUGUGGCUUUGCUUGCUUUCAUAUAUAUAAACAUUCUAAUGAGAUUAACAUAAAAUUGUAUAAUGAUUUUUUUUAAUUAUAAAUUGCGCGCACACGAAAAUAUCUUGUUUAGUAGUAGAAAUGAAGAACUAAAAUGAUUUAUUUAACUAAUUUUUCUAGUGCAUUAAAAGGAGAUAGUCAUGGACAAGAGUUGGGUUGGUUUGCCAAAUAGAUAUCCAAGUCAUAUACUGAUGGGGUUGAAAAAUUUAUAGAUUUUGCAUUUGAGAAUGUUGUUGGUGAUAAAAGAAUUUAUUGUCCUUGUAAGAAGUGUCGUAAUAUCGAUAUUUCAUUAUAAGGGAAGUGGCAAGAGACCAUAUCAUUACAAAUGGCUUUUGGUUAAAGUAUUGAAACUGGAUAUUGCAGGGUGAGCCAUCUUCAUCUUUGAAAUCUAACUAAGAAACAGGUUAGUCAUGACUCGGGUGCUGAUGAUAGUAUGGUUGGAGUGAUACACGAUGCAUCACAUAAUCAAGUGUUCAAGUUACACACAGCAUUGUUAUGUUAUGGACUAUCAGUGACUUUCUAACAUAUGCCAACUUGUUUGGGUAGAGUAUUAAAGGUAAAUAAGCAUUUCUUGUUUGCCAACAAAACACUAGAUCUAAUUGGUUGAUACAUAAUAGAAAAUUUUGUUACUGGGUUACGGUCGAUUCUUACCAACGAAUCAUAGGUUUCGAAAAUAUAGUGUCUUUUGAUAAAACUAGGGGGUAGGGAUAAGCGCCUUCUCGGUUGUCUUGAACUGACGUGAAAAAGCAGGUGAAUAAUAUAUUUACUAAGUAUAAGAUUGAAGACUUGAAAAGAGGAGAAUGAAUAAAAUGAAAGAAAUGAUAAGAUUACUUGGAAGAAGAAAAGCAUUUUUUAUGAACUAACGUAUUGGGAGUUCAACUUGAUUCAUCAUAAUCUUGAUGUCAUGCAUAUGAUCUACUUUCUUUCAUUUUCUCACCUCCCAAACAUCCAUUAUACAAUAAAGUUUUUUUAGAUUUUAUUGUUUCAUAGAAUUAUAUUUUGCAUAUGAUGAAAUAACUUAACAUUUUAGUAUUCAUUUGCAUAUAAUAAUUAUAAGUAAGAAAAAAUAUUUGUUUACAAUCACUACUAGUUUUAUUGUCGUGAUUACAAAUAAAUUGCUCAAAUUUUCUGCUUCAGCUAUCAAACCUUUUAGCUGCUUCCAGACAUGAAGAAAUUAAACCCAUAAUUUCUAGGUACAAUUGCAUUCGUAUAUGCCAUGAUACAUAUGAUAUGAUUAGAACCAAAAGGAGAAAUAAAUUUUUGGGACUUAUUGUGAUGGUGAUUAAUCUUUUUCUACCUUAACUUUGAUAAGGUUAUAAUUAAAUUUUAUAUGAUUAAAGUGGUCAAUGGUUAAAUAAAUAAAUAAAUAAAACAGAUGAGGAUGGACUAAUGAAAUGACCCACCCCGAACUCCACAAGGUGAGUCUAUGUAAUAUCGUCUUACUUGACUGAUAAUAAUCUAAUUAGUAAGGAUUUUGCCGAAAAUUUGAUAGAGUCUCCACUUUGAAUAUAACAUUUCCAACCUGCAAAUGUGUAAAACAAGCACUCUCAAAUAAAUCAGUAUACAACCAACUUCAUUGAUCAACCUCCUCAACUAUAUUACUGAAUAUUACCCAAAAUAUCUACAAAGUAUCAAAAGAUUAUAUUAUACCUACUGUUGACAUAUAUUAAACUAUUUUUAAUCACAAAAAAUAUUAAAAAAUUAUAUAAUCCAAAAAAUAAGAAAUCAAAAUGCCCUGACAAUAUAAUCUAUAUCUCCUAGUACCAUCACAUGGCCAAAUUUCAAAAUACUAUAGUUGCUAAGUCAACUGGUGUCUUGCAACCUCCUGAGGGGUGGGAGCGAAUUAUAACAAAACGGGUGAGUAUAAAACUCAGUGAGCUCGGUGAGUGGAUAAUAGUUUUUGAAAAUAACUUACCAUAAAUAAUUAUACCACUUUUAUAUAUGAUUUUAUCAAACUAUAUGUAAGAAACAUGAAUAAAUUAUUUAACCUUUGAAUCAAGUAAUUGACAUUGAAAAGAAUACAUUAAGAGGUGCAUAAUAAUCAUGGAAAUUGUAUCACAAUAUAAAAUACAUGAUUAUGAAAUUAUCACAAAACAAGUACCUAAGGGAAUAAUCUUGUCGUACCUAGAGCUCAUACGGGCAAUGCAAUGACAUAUUCUCUAGGUACUGUCAUCCUCGGAGCUAGCACCGGUAGAUCAAUGAAGUGUCAUCUUAUAUAUCUUAUCAUAUCUUUGCAUGCAUAAACUAGUCCCCAAAAGACAAAGGUGUCCAAGCACAUAAUCCAAGGCCUCUAUGAGCCCCAAAGGCCCCUAUUUCAUUUGUAUCUUAGUAACUGAAUCUUUGUUAUCAUCAUAUUUCAUGCAUAAGCGCCCAAAAGGCAAAAGUGCCUAAAUAGACGGCCCAAAGCCUCCCUGUGUGUUCAGACGGGCCCCAAAGUCCUCUCAUCUCAUCUGUAUAAUUGUAAUUGGAGGGGAAGGGCAUUGUUCAACGAGUUUGAGAACAAACUUAUAUAUAUACACACAUAAACAUUUUAAUCAUACUUUAAACUCUUAUUUCCUUUUCAUUACAUACUUUAAAUUUGAUUUUCUUUUCUUUAUAUUACUCUCAUGUAUAUACUCAAAAUCGAUAAUAAAACCAAUAAUCAUACUUUUUAAUAAUAAAUAUCAAUACUUAAAUAAAACCUAUUUCUAGAAAAUCAUUAGAUCGGAGCAUUAAACACUUAUUUCCCAAACCUGCUUUACUAUACUUUAAAAUCAUAAUAAAAUAUGAAAAAUAGGUUUUGCUUAUUUCACUCACCGUGACGAUACUCAAACUCGGCUAUCAUUAAUGUCUGCAGGAUGGGUCUCACUCACUAUUCCUCCUAAAUCAAGGAUACGACAUAAUUACUUUCCAUAAAUGUGAAAUACAACUAACUGUAUGUAAUAUACUCGAAACGAACAUCUAUCCACAAUAUGCUACUCCUAUGUCUGUAACGUUACCAAAAAUACCCCCAAAAUCAUAAAUUGUCAAACAACCCUCAAAAUCAUAAAUUACCAAACUAUCCUCUAUAAAAUAUUAUUAAAAUAUCCACAAAGUCAGAAAUUAAAAAAUUACCAUCAAAAUAUAAAUUUAUCAAAAUGCCUUUGUUGGUCAAUGGUGAUCGGGAGUCAAGUGAUGGUGGUUGGAAUGGUCAAGAUAAAUGCUUUGGACCACGCUGAAUUUAAUGGUGGCAAAUUGACCAUUUCUGGUGACAUGGGUGAUUAAAAAUUGUAGAGGGUGUCGUGAGGGAGAAAACUAAGCAGUAGUGUGCCACAAGUUCGACGAAAUCCCAUCGAAUCGAGGUGGUAGUACCAAAGCUCUUCACAUUCUUGAUUGGUGGUCUUUUAGCAGUUAUUUAGUGACCAUGAUGGUUGGGGAAUGACUAGCAUUGGUUAAGGAUUCGAUCGAUACCUUCUGUUGUCGAUAGAGUGGCCGAAAAUAGUAGUUAGCGGCGGGUGGGGUUUCAAGUCUAUCAGUUAGGUUGAUAGCUCUUCCUCUCUUUGUUUUUCUCUUCCCCUCGAUUCCGUGUCAUAACAAGUUUAAACUAGUCCAAACUCGAACCAUUUAACAAGCGUGUCAAAUUUAACAACCCACACAUUUAUUCAUGUUGAGUAAUUGAGUCGUGUCAAAUCUGCCAAUAACAAUUAUAAUAAUGACUUUUAAAACUUCAAGUCAAAGAGGAGGAUAAAAUAAUGCAUUUGAUUAAACAUAAAAUGCAUAUGUUACAACUAAUCACUAUUCAAAAUAUUAAGAGUGGAGUAGCAAAUGUCAAUUUAUUUGGUUGCAGUCAAAUUUAUCCUAUGAUAAAUAGUGAUUAUUAAAUAAUAUAUAGAUCUAUUAUAUAGUCAAUUAAUAAUAUAUAUUAAUGAAAAUUUAAAAAUAAAUUAUUUAAAAAAGUCAAACUAGGUAAUGGACUUAAAUGUGAAAAUUUAAAAUAAUUUGGAGUUAUGUGUUAAAAUAUUGAAACUUUGUCAUUUUUUAAUGUGCAAGCAAAUAAUAGGGACUAUAGACUUAAUAAACUAUUAAAUCCAUCUAAGCCACUAAGCUACGUUUAUGUUAAAUCUAAUGGUUAGUAAUAGCUAAUAAGAAAAGGACAAAAAUUGGGGUAUGAUGUCACAGGGACACCAUAGUCGGACCCAUUAUUAAUGUUUAGUACAAGUAUUUUCUGAAAUAACAACUACAUAAUUAUUAUCUUAUGUAUCUAAUGAGAUUAUUAAUUUAGUAUAUUAGCCCAAGUUAGGAACGUAAGAUUUUGUUAUUUAAUCAAGUAUAUUAAUUUAUAAAACAUUCAUUUAUUGAGAUUUUAUUGUAUAUUACAUUUGCACACUUUCUUUUUAAUGUGAAGUAAAAACUAAUGUUACACAUGAACUUAUUGCUGACAACAUUAGUACAUAAUUGCUGUCAUAAGAAAAUUUAUCAAUCCAGGAAUUUUGGAUUUUAUAAAGUCUUUACAAGUGAAAAGAGUAGUUUAUAACAUUGUAAAUGUGACCUCGACCUGGAAGCGAACUCGGCUGUCAUAAAUUGAUCAAAGCCACACUUAACUUCUACUACUACUUGCAUUGUUACCACCGUCUUCAGCCUUCUGCUUUGCCCAUUCAAAAAAAAAAAAAAAUUAUAUAACUUUUGUCAGCCAACAAUUAUAAUAAACUAAAAACAUGUCCAAAGAUUCAAAAAAAAAUUUUUCCCUUUUUUUGGUUUUAGCUCCUCUGACAUAUCAAAUCCUAUUGCCGUGAAAAGUUUCCCUUGCAGCGCAUAAUUUUGCCACAGCAUCUCUCAUCUCCAUUCGCUCAGUUGGAGACUCCAUUGAGCAGGAAACCCCAAUUCCAAUUACAGCAGACAAGCAUUGCUCAGUCCUGACUC